CGGCGACGUGGCCGACGCACGGCGCGCGCAUCCGCUGCGCGAGAUCUUCGCGCCGGCGUUCCGGCGCCGCACGCUGAC
rnacentral:tRNA from 1 species